AUUGAACGCUGGCGGCAGGCCUAACACAUGCAAGUCGAACGAGUGGCGGACGGGUGAGUAAUGUCUGGGAAACUGCCUGAUGGAGGGGGAUAACUACUGGAAACGGUAGCUAAUACCGCAUACCAUCAGAUGUGCCCAGAGGGGAUUAGCUAGUUGGUGGGGUAACGGCUCACCAAGGCGACGAUCCCUAGCUGGUCUGAGAGGAUGACCAGCCACACUGGAACUGAGACACGGCCCAGACUCCUACGGGAGGCAGCAGUGGGGAAUAUUGGGCAAUGGGCGAAAGCCUGAUGCAGCAAUGCCGCGUGGAUGAAGAAGGCCUUCGGGUUGUAAAGUACUUUCAGCGGGGAGGCGGUACCCGCAGAAGAAGCACCGGCUAACUCCGUGCCAGCAGCCGCGGUAAUAC
rnacentral:rRNA from 1 species